ensembl:lncRNA
CUUAAUCUCAGUGAUACUAAAUUAACACUAAAUACUAAUUCAAUAUUACAUUUAAAAUGAUUAUAUGUACUAAAUAGCAGCUUUAUCAUUACAGAUAUGUAAAUACAAAUUUAAAUGCAUUAAAUAUCCUGUUAGAUUUCUUAGGGAACUUGCUGUUAACAUGUUUUUACCAUGGUAUUUUUAGUGUUUUAUCAUUCAAAUUCUGAACAUGUUUUACACUGUAGAGACCAUCAAGAUCUUCUGUAUCAUAACGAUUAUAUUUUCUCUUUCAGUUGCUCCCAAUAUCUCCAGCUCUUGCAGCCGAAGCAGUGUAACGAAGUGUGUCUGUGAGGCUCAUGGGAAUCCCUGCCCUACACUAGAGUGGCGUCUGUCCGGACAUGAGCUCGCUAACUCUACAGAAACCUCCAUCAGUGAGGAGACGUUAGGAAGCACAGGAGUGAAGAGUGUCCUGACCAUCCAUCAGUCCCUCACAGACACGGACGUCCUGCAGUGUUUCAGCACAAACAAACACGGCAGCGUCAGAGCCAGCCAACAGUUUCAGGACGUCCCACCGCCACAAGACACACGUUUCCAUCCUCCGUCGUUGCUGCUCGGAGCUGCUGUCGGAGCCUCACUGAUGAUGAUCGCGUGCAUCCUGAUGCUCUGCUAUGAACGAAGAAGGAAAGAAAAACCUUCAGAAACCAGAGACGACGACACAUCUGGAUUCAUUCUGACUCAAACAGCCGUUUCUCUGGAUAAUGACAGAGAGAUCAGGGGCAUCGCCUCGCUGACCAGUGAAUACGCUGCGGUCCGACACUGUCCUGCAGAGAACAACACCUCAACAUCUGAGACAGAGCCCAAAAAACCAGACACGACAGCAAAGAUCACGGACACGUCCUCACCGGCAUCAGAAGACGUGAUUUAUGAAAACACGGGCCAUCGCUACAGACAGAAGGAACCGCUAAGUUAA